rnacentral:rRNA from 1 species
AUUGAACGCUGGCGGCAGGCCUAACACAUGCAAGUCGAGCGGUAGAGAGGUGCUUGCAUCUCUUGAGAGCGGCGGACGGGUGAGUAAUGCCUAGGAAUCUGCCUAGUGGUGGGGGAUAACGUUCGGAAACGGACGCUAAUACCGCAUACGUCCUACGGGAGAAAGCGGGGGAUCUUCGGACCUCGCGCCAUUAGAUGAGCCUAGGUCGGAUUAGCUAGUUGGUGAGGUAAUGGCUCACCAAGGCGACGAUCCGUAACUGGUCUGAGAGGAUGAUCAGUCACACUGGAACUGAGACACGGUCCAGGCUCCUACGGGAGGCAGCAGUGGGGAAUAUUGGACAAUGGGCGAAAGCCUGAUCCAGCCAUGCCGCGUGUGUGAAGAAGGCCU